AAAUACCUCUAUUGUGAUGAAAAUGGUCAAUGGAAUGGUACAACACCUUCUUGUCUAAAAGAUUGUCCUCAAAUGAACCGCACUCUAGAAAACGGGCACAUUGAUGGUAAUGGAUCCACAUCAGGUGCUGUGUAUAGCUUUCUUUGCGAUGAAGGGUACAGCGUAGAUGGAGAAACCUCGCUGCGCUGUGAAAAGGGACUAUGGAAUGGUAGCAUUCCUGUAUGUUUAAAAGCUCGUACAGAUAAAGAGGAAAGGGAUACAAACGGCUGGUACCUUUACGUCCUAAUUGGCGCUGCAAUCCUGA